rnacentral:tRNA from 1 species
GGGGGAAUACCCGAGUGGCCAAAGGGGCCAGACUGUAAAUCUGGUGGCGUAAGCCUUCGCAGGUUCGAAUCCUGCUUCCCCCA